ensembl:misc_RNA Metazoa_SRP Metazoan signal recognition particle RNA
GCCGGGCGUGGUGGUGCAUGCCUGUAGUCCCAGCACUCGGGAGGCUGAGGCAGGAUGAUUGCUUGAGCCUGGGAGGCAGGGGUUGCAGUGAGCCAAGAUUGGGCCACUGCGCUCCAGCCUGGGCAACAGAGUGAGACUCUUGUCUCAA